rnacentral:rRNA from 1 species
CGCCUUGCCAGCCCGCUCAGAACUUAAAGGAAUUGACGGGGGCCCGCACAAGCGGAGGAGCAUGUGGUUUAAUUCGAUGAUACGCGAGGAACCUUACCUGGGCUCGAACGUAAGAUGACUGUAGGUGAAAGCUUACAUCUCUUCGGAGCAUUUUACGAGGUGCUGCAUGGUUGUCGUCAGCUCGUGCCGUGAGGUGUCGGGUUAAGUCCCAUAACGAGCGCAACCCCUACCUUUAGUUGCCAUCAGGUUAAGCUGGGGACUCUAAAGGAACUGCCUACGCAAGUAGUGAGGAAGGCGGGGAUGACGUCAAAUCAGCACGGCCCUUACGUCCAGGGCUACACACGUGCUACAAUGGCCGAUACAGAGGGCAGCUACCUGGUGACAGGAUGCAAAUCUCCAAAGUCGGUCUCAGUUCGGAUCGGAGUCUGCAACCCGACUCCGUGAAGUUGGAUUCGCUAGUAAUCGCGCAUCAGCCAUGGCGCGGUGAAUACGUUCCCGGGCCUU